rnacentral:rRNA from 1 species
CCAGGGGAAGGUUCGUCCGCCCUGGGUUAGUCGGGACCUAAGCUGAGGCCGAAAGGCGUAGGUGAUGGACAACAGGUUGAUAUUCCUGUACUACCGAUAACCAUUUGAGAGAAGGGAUGACACAGUAGGAUAAGCUAAGCACACUGUUGGUUAUGUGUGCCCAAGCAUUGAGGCAGUCAAAGUAGGCAAAUCCGCUUUGAUAAUGCUGGG